rnacentral:ncRNA from 1 species
UGACAAGCUACUAAGUGCGAUCGGUGGAUGCCUUGGCACCAAGAGCCGAUGAAGGACGUUGUAACCUGCGAUAAGCCCUGGGGAGUUGGUAAACGAGCUGUGAUCCGGGGAUGUCCGAAUGGGGAAACCUUGAAUGUCCGGAGUCAUGUCCGGUGACCCUGCCCUGAAUGUAUAGGGGUGUGGGAGGUAACGCGGGGAAGUGAAACAUCUCAGUACCCGUAGGAAGAGAAAACAAUUGUGAUUCCGUGAGUAGUGGCGAGCGAAAGCGGAUGUGGCCAAACCGUGUGUGUGUUCAAGCCGGCAGGCGUUGCAUGUGCGGGGUUGUGGGGGCCUGUGUGAUCCUGCUGCCGUGGGAUCGGCUUGCAUGUGGUGUGAAGUUGAAUCGUCUGGGAAGGCGGACCGUAGUGGGUGAGAGUCCCGUAGACGUGAGUGUCAUGUGUGGUUUCAGGUUGCCCCAAGUAGCGCGGUACUCGUGGAAUGUCGCGUGAAUCUGGCGGGACCACCCGUUAAGCCUAAAUACUUCUUGGUGACCGAUAGUGUAUCAGUACCGUGAGGGAAUGGUGAAAAGUACCCCGGGAGGGGAGUGAAAUAGUACCUGAAACCGGUCGCAUACAAGCCGUCGGAGCCUUGCGGGGUGACGGCGUGCCUAUUGAAAAAUGAGCCUGCGAGUUAGUGGUGUGUGGCGAGGUUAACCUGUGUGGGGUAGUCGUAGCGAAAGCGAGUCCGAUAAGGGCGUCAGUCGCAUGCUCUAGACCCGAAGCGGUGUGAUCUAUCCAUGGCCAGGAUGAAGCGUCGGUAAGACGUCGUGGAGGUCCGAACCCACUUCAGUUGAAAAUGGAGGGGAUGAGCUGUGGAUAGGGGUGAAAGGCCAAUCAAACACCGUGAUAGCUGGUUCUCCCCGAAAUGCAUUUAGGUGCAGCGUUGUGUGGUUCGUGUCGGAGGUAGAGCACUGGAUGGUCUAGGGGGCCUAUCAGCUUACCGAAACCAGCCAAACUCCGAAUGCCGGCACGUGGAGCGCAGCAGUGAGACGGCGGGGGAUAAGCUUCGUCGUCGAGAGGGAAACAGCCCAGAUCAUCAGCUAAGGCCCCUAAGUGAUAGCUAAGUGGAAAAGGAUGUGGAGUUGCGUAGACAACCAGGAGGUUGGCUUGGAAGCAGCCAUCCUUGAAAGAGUGCGUAAUAGCUCACUGGUCAAGUGAUUCCGCGCCGACAAUGUAGCGGGGCUCAAGUUAUCCGCCGAAGCUGUGGCAACUUUUUUUGAGUUGGGUAGGGGAGCGUCGUGUUCGUGGUGAAGCAGCCUGGUGAUGGGUUGUGGAGUGGAUGCGAGUGAGAAUGCAGGCAUGAGUAGCGAAUGACGGGUGGGAAACCCGUCCGCCGAAUAUCCAAGGGUUCCAGGGUCAAGUUAAUCUGCCCUGGGUGAGUCGGGACCUAAGGCGAGGCCGACAGGCGUAGUCGAUGGACGACCAGUUGAUAUUCUGGUACCGGUGUAGCACCGUCCGUGUCGAGGUGUGUGAUGCUAAGCGU